rnacentral:rRNA from 1 species
UACAGAGGUCUCAAGCGUUGUUCGGAUUCAUUGGGCGUAAAGGGUGCGUAGGCGGCGCGGUAAGUCGGGUGUGAAAUCUCGGGGCUUAACUCCGAAACUGCAUUCGAUACUGCCGUGCUUGAGGACGGGAGAGGAGACUGGAAUUUACGGUGUAGCAGUGAAAUGCGUAGAUAUCGUAAGGAAGACCAGUGGCGAAGGCGGGUCUCUGGACAGUUCCUGACGCUGAGACACGAAGGCCAGGGGAGCAAACGGG